GGAGAGAACAGGGAAGUUUGGCACGAGAACUGCUCUCGUUUGCUCUUCUCCUUUUAAAUCUCCAGCAAAACUUUCUCUGCAAACUCACACCCCGACCUGCUCUGCCCAAGCACCCACGUGGGGCUGGGCAGCUUUGAUUCAUAAAAAAGCCACCCACCAAGCCACACGUUGAUGUGUUUAUAGAUGGCUAAUUGCAAACGUGAACACCCGGGCAGACCAUGCUGUCCUGUCCACUCAUGUGGAACGAGAGAGACCGAGAGCCCUGAGGGGUUUAAUGUUGGUGACCUGGCACCGAGUAAUUUUAUUUCUUCUGGGCAAAGCAGCCACUUGCUGCCUGUUUUCUGUCAGGCUGGGGGCAGGCAGGCCUGUUUUCUCUUUAGAUAUCAGUUAACUUCUCUUUUUUUGUUUUUAAGGAGUAAAGAAAGAAACUUGCACUACAAUCCUGGUUUCCAUCAAACACAGCCGUGAGAGCUGGUGGCAUCAGCAAAAGGCACAAAAAACCGUUAACAAGUUGCCACAGAAGGAAGUGAAAAAAAAAAAAAAAAAUAUCCUGAAACAACCAGCCCAGGAGCAGGAACAGGGUUUGAGGCAUUUUUCUGCCUGGUUCCCACACCUCGACGAGGCGGCCGGUUAAAAUUAGCUCCACUCAUCUCCAUUGAAGUUUCCAUGCUGCACCCGCAGCACAACCACUCUGAAUCAGCCCAGCAGAAAUUAUGGGUCAAGUACAGAAAUCAAAUCGUCUCCCCCGUCCUCGAGGCUUCACAAUGGCCUAAUUGCUGUUUUCAACACUGAUCUAUAAACCAGAGCUUUUGUGCCCAAGUGGGAUAGGCCUGGAGCUGAAGCCAACGCGGCACCGCUCGCUGCUCCGAGGCACGGAGAAGCACAGGGAUGGGGAGGCUAUAAAUAAGCCAAUGAACAGCAACAAGGACAAACUAUUCCAGAAACACCGAGUUUCAUGGGGCUGAAUCCGCUCCUGGACAGAGCUUUGCCGGAUGAGAGAGCCAGGAGCCACCAGCCAAGUCAAAUUCCCCCCGCAGUGCUGCUGGCAGCCCACGGCAGUGUGUUUUAAUGCACUCCCAAAUGGAUUAAAACAAACAGACAGUCCCCCCCAUUCAUCCUGAAUUCACAGGGAUGCAUCUCGAGGCCAUUUGCCUGGCCUGCUUUGGGCACCCCUCCAGUGGGCACAUAUAAAUAGCUGCCCUGAAGCUGGAGCCGGCACAGAGCUGUGCCCUCUACCCUCACCGUGCUCUGCAGCCACACCAAAAAAGGCAGCUCAUCGGGGCAGCCUUGGGAUCAAACCACCCCAGGAACAUCACUGGUAGCAACACCAGUCCCCAGCAGUGCCACAGAACGGCUGGGCAUCCCAUCCUGCCCUCAGAGCAUCGCCUGUAUCCCGAUUUCCAAGGGUUCCUGAUAAACUUUGCCAGGCUUGAGCAAAAUUGAGUUAUGAAGUCUCAGUCACACUUGAGAGCUGAGCGUGUCCUGGCCGGCGGGAGUUAAUUGGCUUUACCAGGAUAAACAUAUCAAGUCUGAUUAAUUCAAGCAGGCUUCCCCAGGCUCUGUAAACUAAAAGUCAUCCAAGCCCCAUCGUAACAUCGGCUCAAGUGGGAAAUCAGAGGGGUUUUCCCUCUACAUGUGUGCAAGGGUCAGAGGAUGGGGGUUUUCAGAAAUUGCCCUCUGAGAUGACACCUCCCCUGGGAGAAACCCAAAAGUGGAGUCACACUGUUGAACACAGCCCUGUUAUUCUUAAUAAGAACAUGAGGAGGAGGAGGUGGGGAACAGCUGUAUUCCCAGCCAGAGAGAAAAGUAAAAUAGCUGAAAAGAGGGCAGUAAUCCCAAAGAGAGAAAAUACAGCCUGGGGGCUUUGGCUUCACCAACCCAUCCGGGCCCUUGCCUGGGGAAAAGCAGCACAUUCUGGUAUGAACUCCAGCAGAUCCUUAUGUAAAAGGGAGCAGCACAUGCCCACAAAAUCCUCAGGAAAUAUAACAGCCUGGUGUAUAGGAAUGAUUUAUCGGCACAGCUUUUGGCUGCAAUCCAUAUAUAACCCAUAGCGGCUGCAGCAGGAUUAUCGAAGCAAUCAGUCUCGCAUCUAAUUCAGCAAGGAGAGGGAUAUUAAAAUGAAAAGAGGUCUGUGAAACCCUGGCAGCAGCUCUCCCGCUCGCUCAGCGUCCACGUGGCUUGAGCGGAAGCGAAUGGGGGUGAAAUCAGCCCCCGCGAGGGUGAGGGAUUUUCACAGCCCCCUCGGGCCGCCCCAGCUCUGCUGAGAGCGUGUGGGCCCUGCCUGGGCCCUGCUGGAUGUGACCACCUCCGCAGGGGACCACGCUGACCGAUUCUGGGCGAGUGCAGAGGGUGGCACCUUGGGGAUUUAAAUCAGAGCAUCCGGAUGCGUCUGCCUGCCCUUCCCUCCCCGGAGCUGUUUCUCUACCCAGAUGCAGGGGCUGCACUCUCACCUUCCCCACAUCUGUGUCACUGUGGCAAGGCCAGACACAGUGUCAGGAUCAGACCCUCCCAAGGGAGUAAGACUUGGUGGCAGCUGAGUAGUGACCCCUCCAUCCAUCCUUCCAUGGGGGUCAGCUCACAAACCAUAACUUCAGCUUUUUUUUAAAAAAACUGAACUCAAAACACCGAAAACAGGGCUGAUUUUACUCGCAGAGAUCCUCCCCUGCUACUGCUGAAGGUUGGUUAAAAGCCAAGCAGGGCCAGCCUGGGGCAGUUAUUGGUCUCCCUGGGCACAGUCCAGUGGCUAUUUUGCUUUCCCCGGUCACGGUCAGCAGUGGAAGUGCCCAUGCCAAGAGUGGUGUCAUCUGCAGCAAUGGGGGCAUCGAUCACAGUUUCCCUUCCUACGGGUGAGCACAGACCUUGCCAGAAAUAUAUUAGUCACUGUAGUAUACAAAGACCAUAUGCAUUCCCCACCUGACUUUUAAUGGGGAAAAAAAAAAAUCUCUCAGCAGCUUCUCUAGAAGUCAGAGGACACCCAAAUUUAUGAGAUACUGGAAACAGGCACUCAUGCCCCAUCUAGGACAGGUCCCUGUGCCCAAGCAGCAAAGCUUUUCAUCAUCCCCAGGUCAAAUGGAAGAGCUUCCUGUAUUGCCUGGCCUGGCCAACACAGGGUGGAAAGAAUUGGGGAAAAAAAAUGCAAAGCCAGGCUGGUAACAUUGUAGUGUCACAACACCCAGCAGCAGGUUUCGAUAGGAGUCACAAAAACAUCAUUACCGAGGUUUUUUAUAAUUUUGAGGAUACUGCCUAAUACUGCUGAAGCAGUGUGUAAUGAGCAUCCCAAAAGAGCAUAAGCUGCAGAGAUGGUGUUGAGCAUGGGCCAGGAUAAGUUCAGAACACCUCCAUCACCUUGUCCAGUACUGCCAAGUGACUCCCAGCUUUCCUGGAAAUAUCAGCUCCAGCCCAUGAUGCCCUCAAGAGACGAAAUGAGAGCAGCUCUCCACUUUGUGAACACCACUUAAAAGACAUUAGGGCAGAGUCAAAAGCAAAGGCUCCUCUGAAUUACCUCCCUGGAACAGCGCCGGUCCAUCACACACCCCUCACAGCACACUCAGGAGUAAAAACAGCAUCCAGAUCCCCAGAAUAAAUGUUGCCCUGCAGCCCUGUGAAAACACAAAUCAGACCUACCUGGGAGAAAGCCA